GGGUGACAGCCCCGUACACAAAAAUGCACAUGCUGUGAGCUCGAUGAGUAGGGCGGGACACGUGGUAUCCUGUCUGAAUAUGGGGGGACCAUCCUCCAAGGCUAAAUACUCCUGACUGACCGAUAGUGAACCAGUACCGUGAGGGAAAGGCGAAAAGAACCCCGGCGAGGGGAGUGAAAAAGAACCUGAAACCGUGUACGUACAAGCAGUGGGAGCCUCUUUUAUGGGGUGACUGCGUACCUUUUGUAUAAUGGGUCAGCGACUUAUAUUCUGUAGCAAGGUUAACCGAAUAGGGGAGCCGAAGGGAAACCGAGUCUUAACUGGGCGUUAAGUUGCAGGGUAUAGACCCGAAACCCGGUGAUCUAGCCAUGGGCAGGUUGAAGGUUGGGUAACACUAACUGGAGGACCGAACCGACUAAUGUUGAAAAAUUAGCGGAUGACUUGUGGCUGGGGGUGAAAGGCCAAUCAAACCGGGAGAUAGCUGGUUCUCCCCGAAAGCUAUUUAGGUAGCGCCUCGUGAAUUCAUCUCCGGGGGUAGAGCACUGUUUCGGCAAGGGGGUCAUCCCGACUUACCAACCCGAUGCAAACUGCGAAUACCGGAGAAUGUUAUCACGGGAGACACACGGCGGGUGCUAACGUCCGUCGUGAAGAGGGAAACAACCCAGACCGCCAGCUAAGGUCCCAAAGUCAUGGUUAAGUGGGAAACGAUGUGGGAAGGCCCAGACAGCCAGGAUGUUGGCUUAGAAGCAGCCAUCAUUUAAAGAAAGCGUAAUAGCUCACUGGUCGAGUCGGCCUGCGCGGAAGAUGUAACGGGGCUAAACCAUGCACCGAAGCUGCGGCAGCGACGCUUAUGCGUUGUUGGGUAGGGGAGCGUUCUGUAAGCCUGUGAAGGUGUGCUGUGAGGCAUGCUGGAGGUAUCAGAAGUGCGAAUGCUGACAUAAGUAACGAUAAAGCGGGUGAAAAGCCCGCUCGCCGGAAGACCAAGGGUUCCUGUCCAACGUUAAUCGGGGCAGGGUGAGUCGACCCCUAAGGCGAGGCCGAAAGGCGUAGUCGAUGGGAAACAGGUUAAUAUUCCUGUACUUGGUGUUACUGCGAAGGGGGGACGGAGAAGGCUAUGUUGGCCGGGCGACGGUUGUCCCGGUUUAAGCGUGUAGGCUGGUUUUCCAGGCAAAUCCGGAAAAUCAAGGCUGAGGCGUGAUGACGAGGCACUACGGUGCUGAAGCAACAAAUGCCCUGCUUCCAGGAAAAGCCUCUAAGCAUCAGGUAACAUCAAAUCGUACCCCAAACCGACACAGGUGGUCAGGUAGAGAAUACCAAGGCGCUUGAGAGAACUCGGGUGAAGGAACUAGGCAAAAUGGUGCCGUAACUUCGGGAGAAGGCACGCUGAUAUGUAGGUGAAGCGACUUGCUCGUGGAGCUGAAAUCAGUCGAAGAUACCAGCUGGCUGCAACUGUUUAUUAAAAACACAGCACUGUGCAAACACGAAAGUGGACGUAUACGGUGUGACGCCUGCCCGGUGCCGGAAGGUUAAUUGAUGGGGUCAGCGCAAGCGAAGCUCUUGAUCGAAGCCCCGGUAAACGGCGGCCGUAACUAUAACGGUCCUAAGGUAGCGAAAUUCCUUGUCGGGUAAGUUCCGACCUGCACGAAUGGCGUAAUGAUGGCCAGGCUGUCUCCACCCGAGACUCAGUGAAAUUGAACUCGCUGUGAAGAUGCAGUGUACCCGCGGCAAGACGGAAAGACCCCGUGAACCUUUACUAUAGCUUGACACUGAACAUUGAGCCUUGAUGUGUAGGAUAGGUGGGAGGCUU
rnacentral:rRNA from 1 species